GAUGAACGCUGGCGGUAUGCUUAACACAUGCCAGUCGAACGGACUCUUCGGAGUUAGUGGCGGACGGGUGAGUAACGCGUGAGAAUCUGGCUUUGGGUUCGGGACAACCACUGGAAACGGUGGCUAAUAUCGGAUGUGCCGAGAGUUAAAAGAGAAAUUGCCUGAAGAUGAGCUCGCGUCUGAUUAGCUAGUUGGUGAGGUAAAGGCUCACCAAGGCAGCAAUCAGUAGCUGGUCUGAGAGGAUGCACAGCCACACUGGGACUGAGACACAGCCGAGACUCCUACGGGAGGCAGGGGUGAGGAAUUUUCCGCAAAGGGCGAAAGCCUGACGGAGGAAUACCGCGUGAGGGAAGAAGGCUCUUGGGUUGUAAAGCGCUUUGCUUAGGGAAGAACAAAAUGACGGUACCUGAGGAAUCAGCAUCGGCUAACUCCGUG
rnacentral:rRNA from 1 species